GAUUAGGGAAAAGGGGUGAGCUACUAGAGCCCAGUGAGCAGAAUAAUAGAAAACAACAAUUAAAAUCUCAUGCCAUCAUGUAAUGCAACACAUCACAACAAAUCACAUCUCGGAUGGUAUUGUCACCAAUAGUCCUCUACAUUCCAAAGUGCCGGGACGUAGAAUGGGUACAACUGGUCUUUCUCUUAACAUAACAUAUCA
rnacentral:lncRNA from 1 species